GACGUAGGGGGCCAGCGUUGUUCGGAAUUACUGGGUGUAAAGGGUGCGUAGGCGGCGUGGUAAGUCGGAUGUGAAAUCUCGGAGCUUAACUCCGAAACUGCAUUCGAUACUGCCGUGCUUGAGGACUGGAGAGGAGACUGGAAUUUACGGUGUAGCGGUGAAAUGCGUAGAUAUCGUAAGGAAGACCAGUGGCGAAGGCGGGUCUCUGGACAGUUCCUGACGCUGAGGCACGAAGGCCAGGGGAGCAAACGGG
rnacentral:rRNA from 1 species